UACGAAGGGGGCUAGCGUUGCUCGGAAUCACUGGGCGUAAAGCGCACGUAGGCGGACUCUUAAGUCGGUGGUGAAAUCCUGGAGCUCAACUCCAGAACUGCCUUUGAUACUGAGGAUCUUGAGUUCGGGAGAGGUGAGUGGGACUGCGAGUGUAGAGGUGAAAUUCGUAGAUAUUCGCAAGAACACCAGUGGCGAAGGCGGCUCACUGGCCCGAUACUGACGCUGAGGCACGAAAGCGUGGGGAGCAAACAGG
rnacentral:rRNA from 1 species